rnacentral:rRNA from 1 species
UUAAAAAGCUCGUAGUUGGAUUUCUGGCAGGUCUGGUUGGUCCGCGCCGCAAGGCGUGUGCACCGCUCCACGACCGGCCUUUUUGGGGGUGAGCGUGUCUGCCGUUAAUCUCGGUGGGCUCAGGACCCCCCUCGUUUACUGUGAAAAAAUUAGAGUGUUUAAAGCAGGCUUACGCCGUUGAAUACAUUAGCAUGGAAUAAUAAGAUAGGACUUUGGCGGUCUAUUUUGUUGGUUUGGCACGCCAAGGUAAUGAUUAAUAGGGAUAGUUGGGGGU